CUCCUCCGUGAAAAGAUAUUCAUCCUCCGUAAUCUAUAAAUAAAACACCAAAUAAAUUCAAUUAAAUCAAAAAAAAUGAAUCCCUCCUCCCUAAACCCACGUUGAAAACACUAUCUCUCUCCCCUAAAAUCUCUCCCAUAUCUUUUAACCGCCCUCCCUCUAAAUUAAAUAUUUCACAAACUCAUUCCUUCUCAUUAUCGUCUCUGCAAUCAAAUCCAUCUUCUCCAACUUCAAUCCAAGGCCGAGCCGGAGAUUCAAGAACCAUUUUUUUGAAACGUCCGUCUGCAAAUUGAAGGUGAGACCUCACAAGGGAAUCGAGAUACCAAAGGGAAGGAAGUGUAGAGAAUUAAUUCAAUUGAGGUUGAGCGGCGACGAGGUUGUGGUGGUGUUGAGCAAGUAAAUUGGUAAAUGAACUGUUGUUUUUGAAUUAUGGGUGUCGUGGUGUCUUCACACAUGACGUCACCCUUACUCUUGGUCGUUUCCGCUGUGACAUUUCUUUCACUUAUCGCUUAUUGGGCUUGCAGCCUAAAUUAUUUGGAUAUUGAAUAUUUGGGAUUUUACCAAUUUAUGUCAAAUUCUCGGUCGUUUUAUUUGAAUAUUAAUUGUGGGUCAAGCUCGUUAUUAAA